rnacentral:rRNA from 1 species
AACGUAGGAGACAAACGUUAUCCGGAGUUACUGGGCGUAAAGGGCGCGUAGGUGGCCCGGUCAGCGUGCGGUGAAAGCUCGGGGCUCAACCCCGAGUCGGCCGUGCGAACUGCUGGGCUCGAGCACUGUAGAGGCAGGCGGAAUUCCGGGUGUAGCGGUGGAAUGCGUAGAGAUCCGGAAGAACACCGGUGGCGAAGGCGGCCUGCUGGGCAGUGGCUGACACUGAGGCGCGACAGCGUGGGGAGCAAACAGG